rnacentral:rRNA from 1 species
UCCGUAGGUGACCUGCGGAAGGAUCAUUAAUGAAUAAACUUGGUCAGGCUGUUGCUGGUUCUUCGGGACAUGUGCACGCUUGCCACCAAUUUUAACCACCUGUGCACCUUUUGUAGACUGAAAAAUUUUUUCUCGAGGCAACUCGGAUUGAGAACUGCUGUGCGCAAGCCAGCUGUUCUUGUGUUUCUCAGUCUAUGUUUUCAUAUACUCCUCAUGUAUGUAUCUGAAUGUAUUGCUAGGCCUUAGUGCCUUUAAAAACAAAUACAACUUUCAACAACGGAUCUCUUGGCUCUCGCAUCGAUGAAGAACGCAGCGAAAUGCGAUAAGUAAUGUGAAUUGCAGAAUUCAGUGAAUCAUCGAAUCUUUGAACGCACCUUGCGCUCCUUGGUAUUCCGAGGAGCAUGCCUGUUUGAGUGUCAUUACAUUCUCAACUAUACAAGUUUUUACAACAUGUAUGGCUUGGAUCUUGGGAUUUGCGGGCUUUCACAAGUCGGCUAUCCUUAAAUGCAUUAGCAGAGCUUUUGCCGCUAACCUCUGGUGUGAUAAUUAUCUACGCCGUUGAGUUUCGACAUACUGAGGCUUAGCUUCUAAUCGUCCGCAAGGACAACAUUUGACAAUCUGACCUCAAAUCANGUAGGAUUACCCGCUGAACUUAAGCAUAUCAAUAAGCGGAGGAAAAGAAACUAACAAGGAUUUCUCCUAGUAACUGCGAGUGAAGCGGGAAAGCUCAAAUUUAAAAUCUGGUAGUCUUUGGGCUGCCCGAGUUGUAAUCUAGAGAAGCGUAUCCGUGCUGGAUCGUGUAUAAGUCU